rnacentral:rRNA from 1 species
CGUCAAGUCAUCAUGGCCCUUAUGACCAGGGCUACACACGUGCUACAAUGGUCGGUACAGAGGGUAGCCAAGCCGUGAGGCGGAGCCAAUCCCAGAAAGCCGAUCGUAGUCCGGAUUGCAGUCUGCAACUCGACUGCAUGAAGUCGGAAUCGCUAGUAAUCGCGGAUCAGCAUGCCGCGGUGAAUACGUUCCCGGGCCUU